rnacentral:rRNA from 1 species
UUGACGGGGGCCCGCACAAGCGGCGGAGCAUGCGGAUUAAUUCGAUGCAACGCGAAGAACCUUACCAAGGCUUGACAUGUGCCAGACCGCCUCAAGAUGGGGUUUCCUUCGGGGCUGGUUCACAGGUGGGCAUGGUUGUCGUCAGCUCGGUGUCGUGAGAUGUUGGGUUAAGUCUCGCAACGAGCGCAACCCUCGUUCCAUGUUGCCAGCACGUAAUGGUGGGGACUCAUGGGAGACUGCCGGGGUCAACUCGGAGGAAGGUGGGGAUGACGUCAAAUCAUCAUGCCCCUUAUGUCUUGGGCUUCACGCAUGCUACAAUGGCCGGUACAAUGGGUUGCGAUACUGUAAGGUGGAGCUAAUCCCUAAAAGCCGGUCUCAGUUCGGAUUGGGGUCUGCAACUCGACCCCAUGAAGUCGGAGUCGCUAGUAAUCGCAGAUCAGCAACGCUGCGGUGAAUACGUUCCCGGGCCUUGUACACACCGCCCGUCAAGUCACGAAAGUUGGUAACACCCGAAGCCGAUGGCCUAACCAC